CUCUAGUGUACCUCUGUGAGUUGUCUUCUCCUUGUGGAGCUGGUCACCACUGACCACUUCACAGGACACUGGGCCUAUUCCUUAUUGACAAAAUGGAAGCUUCCAUAAAAAACCAACUUGGAUACCCACUGACAAUAAACUGGCAACUGGACAUCUGACUAAGCACAUCGUGAAUUAGCUUGAGUCAUAAAGGAGACAGAAGGGGACCGAGAGCCAGGCCAUUAGAUAUGGCCAACACGAAUCUGUCUCUGGAUGAAUUACUGCUGGACAAUUACGAUGGCCCCUAUUAGCAUGGCUGCUUGGAAGGGUGGCACAUUCAUGGAUUUUGGAAGUCGGCAGCCGUACUUUUGAUCUCAGCUUUAAUGAUGCACCAGCUGUGUGACUUUGGGUGUCUAUUUGACAACGACUUCCCUGUGAAAGGCUCAGGGCACUUUGAAGACAUUACCUCAUUGUUGGGAGAAUUUUAGAAGCAUCAUUUGAUCUAUUUCACAGCCAAGGAGGGUGAAGAAUACAGAAAGACAUUGGCUUGCCCAGGGUUGCAGCGAAGCAGUGAUGUAUUUGACAUCUCAGUUCUAAGCUGGGGUUCCCACUGCGAUACUCUUGGUAACUAAAUUGGUGUCUCAAAA
rnacentral:lncRNA from 10 species